UUAAAUGAUAAUUUGCAAUGUUUCAUAUUCCUAGGUUACUUAUUGUAUCUAGAAGUUCAUUCAUGCUCCUACAAGUUCUAGAGAGGGUCAUUUAAUAUGCCUAGAUGCUUUCACUUAUUUACUAGAAUUUUCUAUGCACCAAUAUAAAUAGAUGUUCUAUGUAUUGAAAAGGCAUUGCAUUGAAAAGAAACAUUAGUUCAAAAUUGUGUUUCUCAAGUUCCACUUUCCUUUUACUGCCUCUGUCUCCAACAG
rnacentral:lncRNA from 1 species